rnacentral:rRNA from 1 species
GACGAACGCUGGCGGCGUGCUUAACACAUGCAAGUCGAACGGAAAGGCCCUGCUUUUGUGGGGUGCUCGAGUGGCGAACGGGUGAGUAACACGUGAGUAACCUGCCCUUGACUUUGGGAUAACUUCAGGAAACUGGGGCUAAUACCGGAUAGGAGCUCCUGCUGCAUGGUGGGGGUUGGAAAGUUUCGGCGGUUGGGGAUGGACUCGCGGCUUAUCAGCUUGUUGGUGGGGUAGUGGCUUACCAAGGCUUUGACGGGUAGCCGGCCUGAGAGGGUGACCGGCCACAUUGGGACUGAGAUACGGCCCAGACUCCUACGGGAGGCAGCAGGGGGGAAUAUUGAACAAUGGGCGGAAGCCUGAUGCAGCAACGCCGCGUGCGGGAUGACGGCCUUCGGGUUGUAAACCGCUUUCGCCUGUGACGAAGCGUGAGUGAAGGUAAUGGGUAAAGAAGCACCGGCUAACUACGUG